CAGGGCACCUUGUUCUGCCAGGUCACCCAUGUCCCCAUGUCCCCAGAGCUCCCUGCCUUCAAGAAAAGCCCUUGGAGCAGAGGGGGAAGGAGCUUCACCUUGGGGGCUCAGAGACCCCAAAUUCUGCCCCUUCCUCACUAGCAUAAUUAGUUGUUGGAUAAUAAUUAAUAUUAUAAAAAAUAUAAUAGAAGUAUACUGUGGAUAAAGUUGGAUAAUAAUUUACAAUUGCUCUGCCUGACCCAGCUGUCCCCUCCCCAUGCAAUGGGACCCUGCUCCUGCCCAGUGCCCCGGUGACACUGUCCUGGUGCCAUAUUCCAGAUCCCCUGUGCAGUGUCCCAGUGCAGUAUCCCAGUCCCCCAGUACUUUAUCCAACUUUCCCAAUGCAGUGUCCCAGUUUCCUGGUCCUUUCUCCUGGGACCCUUGGUACGUGGCUCCAUUGCAUCGUCCCCAUGCCUGGUGCAUUGUCCUGCUGUCCCCAUGCAUGACCCCAUUAUCUUGGGUGAUUAUCACAGAAUCCCAGACUGGUUUGGGUUGGAAGGGACCUUAAAGCCCAUCCAGUGCCACCCCUGCCAUGGGCAGGGACACCUUCCACCAUCCCAGGUGGCUCCAAGCCCUGUCCAGCCUGGCCUGGGACACUUCCAGGGAUCCAGGGGCAGCCACAGCUGCUCUGAGCAUCCUGUGCCAGCGUCCCAGAGCAUCCCUGUGCUCUGGCACUUCCUGCCUGCCUUGUCCUGCUGCACAGCCCGGAUGGGUGAAACCUCGUGGCACUGUCCCUGUGCCUGGUGCAGUGUCACGGAGCUCUGUCCCUGUCCCAUUGCACUGUCCUCUUGCACAAGGUCCCUGUCCUGGGAUGUGGCUGCAGUGUCACUGCACUGCCCUGGUGCAUUGGAGAACUGUCCCAAAGCACUGUCCUGGUGCCCUGUCCCAGUGAUGCAUACCUGGGCUCUGGCCUGGGGCACAGCCUCGCUGUUCAGGGGUGCUGGAGCACUGGGCACCUCCCGUAGACACCGUCCCACUGUCCCGGUGCACCAUUCCACUAUCCCAGUUCACCCUCCCCGUCCAUUAUCCCGGUGCCCUGCCCCAAGGCACUGGCUGGGUGCACCCAUCCCGGUGCUCUGCUUCUCUGUCCCUGUGCCCUGUUUCACUACCCUGGUGCAUCUUUCACUAUCCUGGAGCACUGUACCCGUGCACUGUCCCACUGUCCUGCUAUCCCACUGUCCUGCUAUCCCACUGUCCCUGUCCCACUGUCACCCUGUCCCUGUCCCACUGUCCCUGUCCCUGUCCCUGUCCCUCUGUCCUGCUAUCCCACUGUCCCUGUCCCGCUGUCCCUGUCCCUGUCCCAGUCCCUAUCCCAGUUCCUGUCCCAGUCCCUGUCCCGCUGUCCCUGUCCCAGUCCCUGUCCCUGUCCCAGUCCCUGUCCUGCUGUCCCCUUGUCCCUGUCCCUGUCCCGCUGUCCCCCCCGUCCCUGUCCCAGUCCCUGUCCCUGUCCCUGUCCCCCUGUCCCUGUCCCUGUCCCUGUCCAUAUUCCCCUGUCCCAGUCCCUGUCCCUGUCCCUGUCCCCCUGUCCCUGUCCCCCUGUCCCUGUCCCUCUGUCCCUGUCCCAGUCCCCCGUCCCUCUGUCCCGCUGUCCCUGUCCCAGUCCCCCUGUCCCUGUCCCUGUCCCUCUGUCCCAGUCCCCCUGUCCCUCUGUGCCUGUCCCUCUGUCCCUGUCCCUGUCCCAGUCCCUGUCCCUGUCCCAGUCCCAGUCCCGCUGUCCCUGUCCCUCUGUCCCUGUCCCUGUCCCAGUCCCUGUCCCUCUGUCCCAGUCCCUGUCCCUGUCCCAGUCCCUGUCCCUCUGUCCCUGUCCCUCUGUCCCUGUCCCUCUGUCCCUGUCCCUGUCCCUGUCCCUGUCCCUCUGUCCCAGUCCCUGCCCCUGUCCCUGUCCCAGUCCCUGUCCCUCUGUCCCUGUCCCUCUGUCCCUGUCCCUGUCCCAGUCCCUGUCCCUCUGUCCCUGUCCCUCUGUCCCUGUCCCUCUGUCCCUGUCCCUGUCCCAGUCCCUGUCCCUCUGUCCCUGUCCCUCUGUCCCUGUCCCCAGCGCUGCAGUCCCUCCCGCUCCCGCCAGGCGGCGCCCCGGCCCCUCGCGCCGCUCGCUGC
rnacentral:lncRNA from 1 species